UCUAAGUAGGAAAAAGAAAAGGAGCUUUCCAGAAUCACACGAGAAAGGAGGGCAAGCGAGGGCUUUGUCCAAAAGAGUGGCAGAAUUUGCAACGUCUGCAACAGUCUACGAGCUUCAUCGGGCCUCCGCAACGGCUAAAAAAGCAAGCAGGAUCCAGAGGUGCGUUAAGAUGCUCAUUUCCUAGAGAGCUCGGCGGCAUGGUUCUGCUUCGCCUUCGUCUCAGUCUUCGUUUGGAGCUACAACAGUAACCAGAUACAACGAGUAAUUGAAUCAAUAAACUGUGGCUAACGGUUGGUCCUUCCAUCAUGGAUAAGAUAUCACCUGACUGUCCUUACCCAGGAUGCUUCUUCUGUGUCAUGAAGGAGGGAAAUCCAAAUAAAAGAAGAACAAGUAUACUGAAGUUCUUUAGAGAGCUUCCUUCUCAAGAUGAUGAUGGCCAGGUUCUCCCUAUCAGUGGCCUUUGGAACACUGCCAUGGCGCAUCCAAAUGAUCCUGAAUUUGUUAACUUGGGAAUAUUUGAAUGCAUGGGUGCAUUGAUAUGGAAGGGCUUAAAGAACAGGCGUUGGCUUACACAUGACCAGAACAUAUACAUCCCCUAUUAUGCAGCUCAUAUAAUUGGAUCUUACACCAUGAAUAUGGAAGAGUUUGCAGAAACUGCGGUGCAUGCUGGAGUUAUUCCUCCCUUAGUUGAACUUUUACGAGGUAGGCUGACCUGGGUGGAACAAAGGGUAGCAGUUAGGGCCCUGGGACACUUGGCUACAUAUCCUAGUACAUUUCCUGCGGUGGCAAGUCAUGGAGAAGUCCUUGAGCUUGCCAUUCAGCUGGCGUCAAGUUCUCUAGAGAUUGUCUACUCUCACUUUUACCAGUUCAUGGAUAGGAGACUAAGCUAUCACUGCGAUCUACUUACACGGGGGAUGGGUGGUGUGGAAAUGGAGUCCAGGAAAGCAGAGGAAUGGGCCAGUCAGUUACAGUGCUGGUCUCUUCAGCUAAUUAAUUGCUUCGCUUUCAAGCCUGAGUUUCUCCCUGAUAUAUGCAAGCCAGAAUUUUUAAUGAAAUUACCAGGCAUGUGGGGUGGGCUUGUCAAUGAGAACUCGCCAGCUGGUAUUGGUUUACUGCGAACAAUUUGCCAACACAAGCUUGGGAGGAGUUCUGUUGCUAACUGUCCUGGUAUCAUCGAUGCACUAUGUAAUAUUGCUUGUUCAUCAGAUGACUGGCAGUACAUGGCUAUUGAUUGUCUUGUUUGGUUACUUCAAGAUCCAAGUACUUGCCAUAAGGUGAUAGAUAAGGCAGCCCCAGCACUUAUAGAUUUAGCAGAAAUUUCAACUCUUGGUGAUCAUAAAAGACUUGGGGACAAUAUUGUUAGCGUCCUUCAAGAAUGUAUACAGUCACAUGGGACAGCACGCAAUUUUAUCAGCAGCCAUACGAAAGAACAAAUUGACGAGCUUUUGAGUUCCAGGCAGAGAUUAACAUGGGAGAAGAAUAUGCCAAAGGAGGAUCUGCAUAUAAAGCAGGCAGCAGCACUGGUUGUUAAGCUGGAAGGAAAUUCUUUAUUUUCUUCAGGAAAUAUUGCAGGAGCUGCAUCAAAGUACUCUGAAGCGCUGGCAUUGUGUCCCAUGAAGUCAAAAAAAGAGAGAGUUGUGUUGUACAGCAACAGGGCUCAGUGUUAUCUUCUCUUGCAGCAGCCAUUGGCAGCCAUUAGCGAUGCUACACGUGCAUUGUGCCUUCAUAACCCUCCUAAUCGUCAUGCCAAAAGCCUGUGGAGAAGAGCCCAAGCAUAUGAUAUGCUUGCUUUAGCUAAGGAGAGCUUGUUAGAUGCCAUUCUUUUCAUUAAUGAGUGUUCUCAGUCAAAUGAUCCCGACCUUUCUUUGAGACAAAACAAAGUUCCUGAUUAUGCUGAAAGGUUAGUCAAGAAGCAGAUGCGUGCUGCAUGGCUAUUCAGAGAAGCAGCUAUAAAGCAUGGGGGAGUUCAUUGUGAGGGUGAUACUGGAGAUGUAUUUGGCCAAGAGGCUGAUGACUCUGAGUGGGAGACAGCUAGCGAAAGUGAUAUUGGAGAUGAUGGAAGAGGAGAAGCAGAUGAUGAUGAGAGUGAAUGGAAAAAUGCUGACUACCGGAAAGAUAUAUAUAACAAGGCUGCUACAAAAGCAACUAAAGCUUCAGCAAAAUUUCUACCAUCAACCUAGACUACGUUCAUUUUUUUAUCCUGCAAACUGGAAAACAGCCCAGUGGUUGCAUUCCUCUCCUUGGAGGUGGUUCUAAGUUCGACUCCUGAAUGGUGCAUUCCAAAGCAUUUGAACCUAGAUACGAGUCAUGGAUAUAAUGUGCUGCUUGUGGAAGAUGAUACAUGAUUUCCCAAGUGAUUAACACGUCACAGACUAUGUUAAUCGUCAUCAGAGAGCUUCUUUGAACCUCAAGUGUGAAGGGCGUUGUUGCUCGGUUCCUUGAAGUGUAAGUACUACUGAGGUAUUCAGAUCCCUUAUUUAAAGUUGAACUGAAUAAGAACUCUUUCCCUAUUCAUUAUCGCUGUUGUUUCUCCUUAGAAAUAUGAAAGCUUUCAAGGUGUUUUUGGUGAUGUUAUGGGUUGAUAAGGAGAUCGUUUGCUUUGGAAUGGUUGGCAGAGUUGGACUUGUAUUUCAUUGGAUUACUGCUCUUUGGUAAAUGUAUGCCUUACAAAUGAGUACUACGAAAUGGUAAUCCUUUUACUCUCUUCACUGUUCUUUACGUCAGAUAUUGCCUUUUAUCACUGUUCAAAUGAACCAGAAUCUAGAAUAUUAGAAUAUGUCUCACAUAUAUUUGUU